GGGUUAGUAGGUUGGUCAUGCCUCUGGUAUGUACUGGUCUCACUGAUUCCUCCUUCCUGAUGAGCCGUAAUGCCAUUAAUUUGGUGUUUUGGGGAAUUUGGACUGUUACUUUGAAAAAAUUAGAGUGUUUAAAACAGGCAUUUUGCUUGAAUACAUUAGCAUGGAAUAAUGAAAUAGGACGUUCGAUCCUAUUUUGUUGGUUUCUAGGAUUGACGUA
rnacentral:rRNA from 1 species